GUGGCGGCGCAGUCACGUGACGGCGCGCCCCGCUCCGCCCGCUGCAUGGCGGCGCCGUGAGGCGGCGGAGCCGCGGCGGCAGCGGCCCGGCGGGCGGGAUGCGGCGGCCGGCGGGCUGAGCGGCCGGGCGGGGAUGCGCGCUGCGCCGCGCAGCCAUGUCACGGGUGAGCGGCCCCGGGCCGGCCGGCAGCGCUAAGGAGAAGCGCUCCUUCAGCAAGCGGCUCUUCCGCGGGCGGGCGGCGGGCGGCGGCGCGGGCUCGGCCCCGGCUCCCGCCGCCGCACCGGCCCCGUCCGCAUCCGGGCGGUCGCUCGGCGGGUUCAUGAGCCGCGUCUUGAAGACGCUCUCCACCCUCUCGCACUACAGCAGCGAGCCCGAGCCCCGCGGCCCGCACGCCCCGCGCCUGCCCCCGCCGCAGGCGGCCGGCGGCCUGGGCAGCUGCUUCCCGCCGGGCCCGCCGCGCAGCCCCGAGCCCCCGCCGCGGCCCGCCGGCGGCCCUGAGGCCGUGCCCGGCGUGGCGGGGCUGCGCAACCACGGCAACACCUGCUUCAUGAACGCCAUCCUGCAGUGCCUCAGCAACACCGAGCUCUUCGCCGAGUUCCUGGCGCUGGAGCAGUUCCGCGGCGGGCCGCCCCCCGCCGCCCCCGCUGCCGACGGGCCGCCGCCCGCGCCCGGCGAGGUCACGGAGCAGCUGGCGCAGCUGGUGCGGGCGCUCUGGACGCUGGAGUACACCCCGCAGCACAGCCGCGACUUCAAGAACAUUGUGUCCAAGAACGCGAUGCAGUACCGCGGGAAUGCCCAGCACGACGCGCAGGAGUUUCUGCUCUGGCUCCUCGACAGAGUCCAUGAAGACCUGAACAAUGUGGUGAAUUACAGUGGCGUGUCUCCACUCAAGCCACCGCUGGAGGAUGACGUGCUGCUCGAGGGUCCAGCCUUUCCGAUCAGUUGUACUUUUGUGCAGGAACUCUUUCAAGCACAGUACAGGUCCUCUCUGACGUGCCCACAUUGCCAGAAGCAGAGUAACACCUUUGACCCGUUCCUCUGCAUCUCUCUGCCGAUUCCUCUGCCUCACACGAGGCCGCUGUACGUCACCGUGGUGUACCAGGGCAAGUGCUCGCACUGCAUGCGCAUUGGGGUGGCCGUGCCCAUGGCUGGGACAGUGGCCAGGCUGCGGGAGGCUGUCUCCUCUGAGACCAAGAUACCCACAGAGCAGAUCGUGCUGACGGAGAUGUACUAUGACGGUUUUCAUCGAUCCUUCUGUGAUACUGAUGACCUGGACACCAUUCAUGAAAGUGACUGCAUUUUUGCCUUUGAGACCCCAGAGAUCUUUAGGCCCGAGGGUAUCCUCAGUCAGAGAGGAAUACACGUGAACAAUAACCUGAAUAACUUGAAAUGUGGCACUGAGCACUCCCGAACAAUAUCGUACUCUCAAGGAACGGUGAAGUCUGGAAAACUGGAACAGUCCUCUGCGAAACCAGCAGCGAAUGACAAGAUCGUCCUGCUGGUGUGUAACAGAGCGUGCACUGGACAGCAGAGCAAGAGGUUUGGUUUGCCCUUUGUGUUGCAUUUGGAAAAAACAAUUGCUUGGGAUAUUCUUCAGAAGGAAAUUCUGGAGAAGAUGCAGUAUUUCCUGCGGCCUGCAGCCUGCAUGCAGGUUUGCCCGUUCAGCCUGCGAGUGGUCAGCGUUGUGGGCAUCACGUACUUGCUACCUCAGGAGGAGCGACCCCUCUGCCACCCCACAGUGGAAAGGGCAUUGAAGUCAUGUGGACAGGGGGGAACUGCUCAUGUGAAAUUAGUGGUAGAAUGGGACAAAGAAACGAAAGACUACUUGUUUGUGAAUACAGAAGAGGAGUAUAUUCCAGACUCUGAAAGUGUCCGCCAGCAGAGAGAGCUUCAUCACCAACCUCAGACCUGCACUUUAUCUCAGUGUUUCCAACUCUACACCAAAGAGGAACAGCUUGCCCCGGAUGAUGCGUGGCGAUGCCCACACUGCAAGCAGCUGCAGCAGGGUAGCAUCACACUGAGCCUCUGGACCUUACCUGAUGUUCUCAUCAUCCAUCUCAAGAGGUUCAGACAGGAGGGAGACCGAAGGAUGAAACUUCAGAAUAUGGUUAAAUUCCCCCUGAGUGGUUUGGACAUGACUCCUCAUGUUGUGAAGCGCAGUCAGAGCAGCUGGAGUCUGCCGUCUCACUGGUCACCGUGGAGGCGACCAUACGGUCUCGGGAGGGAUCCUGAGGACUACAUCUAUGACCUGUAUGCUGUCUGCAAUCAUCAUGGCACCAUGCAAGGGGGACACUAUACAGCAUAUUGCAAAAACUCAGUUGACGGCCAGUGGUACUGCUUUGAUGACAGUGAAGUCCAGCAACUUGCUGAAAAUGAAGUCUGCAAGCAGACAGCAUAUAUUCUUUUCUACCAGAGACGCACAGCAAUCCCGUCAUGGUCUGCUAACAGCUCUGUGGCAGGAUCCACCAGCUCCUCACUGUGCGAGCACUGGGUCAGCCGCCUGCCCGGCAGCAAGCAGCCCAGCAUCGCCUCGGCAGCCUCCUCACGGCGCACCUCUCUGGCCUCGCUCUCGGAAUCAGUGGAGCUGACUGGGGAGAGGAGUGAAGAUGAUGGAGGAUUUUCAACUCGUCCAUUUGUAAGAAGUGUCCAGCGUCAGAGCUUGUCGUCUAGAUCUUCUGUCACCAGCCCGCUGGCAGUGAGUGAAAAUGGGGUCAGGCCCUCCUGGUCGCUCUCUGCAAAACUGCAGUUGCGUUCCAAUUCUCCAUCCCGCUUCUCCGGAGAUUCCCCUGUACAUACUUCUGCUUCCACCCUGGAGAAGAUCGGGGAGGCUGCUGAUGAUAAAGUCUCCACCUCUUGCUUCGGCAGCCUGAGGAAUCUCUCGAGCAGCUACUUGGAGCCCUGUGAUGGCAGUCGGCGAGAGCACAAGGUGGCUCGCAGGGCUCCUUUGGCUGUCAUGGAAGGGGCAUUCAGGGAGGAGUCUGUUGUAAGGACAUCUAGCUCAGACCUUUCAGACGGGUAUGGUAAAAGCUCUGUGCAGCCAGACAGGAACCACCCUGCUUUGGACCCUUUUGAUAACAACAAUCAAAUCGCCUUUGUUGAUCAGAGCGAUUCUGUGGAUAGCUCUCCAGUCAAGGAGGUGGCAGCCCCCAGCGGGCCAGGGCUGGCUGCAGAGAAGGCAGAGGGCACCCCUAAAAAGGCUCACGGCUCCAAGGGAGUUUCUGAGCCAGACAAAAGUUUGAGGAAGGGAAGGACAGUCUCAUCUACCCGAGAGACCAAAGGCUCUCACUCUUCUCCUCCUCCGCUAAGGAGUUCCCAGAAAGUUUCCCGAUCUAGAAGUAAGACGGACUCCUCCAGGGCCAGCGGGCGACAUGGGUCUCCUGCUCCCGCUCAGUCUAGGAAGGACCAUGGCACGAAGCCCCUCGAGGCGCCUGUCCCAUCGGCUCAACAGAAGCAAAAGUCUGGUUCUCCAUCCUGCACAGCUGCCAAGAAGACCCCAUCAGGCUCAUUGACUAAGGGCUCUUCUGCUGGGAAGAGCCGGACUUCAGACCGAAGCCUCAGCAGGGAGGGCUCUAAGAUAAGUCUGGGGUCAGAUAAAGCGAGCGUUACCAGCAGCUCAAGAACGAGCUCCCCGCGGAUAAGCCACUCCCGGAGUGACAGCAGGGCAGUCGACAGCAAGCACGUGCGGAGCUCCUCCAUGGCCAACCUGCGGUCUCCAAACACUGGUGUGCGUUCUGGUCUGAAGAGGGACAGCAAGUCAGAGGAGAAAGGAUUGUCUUUCUUUAAAUCAGCCUUAAGGCAGAAGGAGACCCGGAGGUCAGCAGACCUGGGGAAGACGACGAUGCUCUCAAAAAAGGCAGGGGGUGGCAGUUCCAAGUCAGGCAGCAAAAAUGUGCUGGAAGACAAAUCGGAGAGAGGUGUAGUCCCACCAGCCUCUCAAACCAAUGCCAACAUUAUUGCAAAAGAAAAACUUGUCCCAAAAGACACCACACCCAACAAACAUUCUCUGCUAUCCAGCCGCAAGUCCAAGUCUUCCCAGCUAGAUCCCGGAGUCCAGUCUCCUCCUUCCAGUGGCAAGCAGUCCACUGACAAACCGCUGAAAAAAUUACCUUCCAGCAUGCAGGUGUCUGUACGGCCUUCUCUGGAACCUCAGUGAAAUGCUGCAAUCCAGCAGGGUGUGCAGUGGUAGAGCGCAGAUGGGCAGCUCCCGCCUCUGCGCCUUGGCUGGGCGAGGAGGAUGAGGACGAUGGAGCGAGGUGGGAGGAGGAAGGUCCAUGCUCCCAGCUGCUGGAGGGGGUUCCUCUGUCCCUGUCCCCGCGGAUGGCUGCGUGGUCUGCAGGUGACACCCAGGUUGGCCGAGCUGCUGCAGGCAGGGCUGGGAAACCUUCCCCGGGCUGCGGCUCCACCCUGGAGGGCGAAUGGGCUGCGAGAUGCUUCAGCGAUCCUGCGUGUCACCUCGGCUGAAGAACAGGAGGGAGAAAUGGAAGUCGUCAUGGUUGGAUCUGCCCAGGAGCGUUUCCACUGCGUACUCAGAUCUUCCUGCUUGACUGAGCCAUCAGGAGGGGUCAACAGCUUCUGCCGCAGCUCGGGACGUGACCGGCCGCCCCAGGGGAGAACAUGGAACCGGCCCUGGCAGGUCCGGCCCGUGGAACGGGUGUGCGGGGCCGGGUGGAGGUGACGCUGUCCCCCCGCGGGUGGCUCGUGUGACGCUGUCCCCCCGCGGGUGGCUCGCGGGUCCUCUCCCGGGCUCUGAGCUCCCAGUUCGCAGCGGUGGCACCGUGCUCAGCCGGGCCGGGCGGGGGCUGCAGAGCCGCCACGAACACGCGUGUGCAGCGGGGCCGAGCCGCGCCCGGGGGGCGGGGGAGCCGGCGGGACCUGGCCGGCCGAGGGAGACUGUGCUGCGUGUGUCCGUGUACGCACACGCGGGUUUCAUUGCCACUGGGCGGUGCCCGUGGGUCGCGCUGCCCGCAGCUCCGGGCCCCGCCGCUUGGGGUGCAGCGCGCCCGGGGUCCGGCACCCUCGGCGGGGCUGGUGCCGACCUGGGGAUGUGCUGGUACCAACCUGGGGAUGAUGUACCGGUGCCAGCCUGUGGACACGGCCAGCAGAUCAGCUGCUGGAAAAGGCCUUGCUCUGCUCAUGCCUGGGUGGCCUGAACAGUUUGGGGGUGUCACCAGUGUGACAUGUGCAGGGAUGGAGAGCUGCCAUCCCCCAGCUUGGAAAGGAGCAGCCUGGGGCUUUGGGUCUUGAGGCUCAGGCUGGGUACCCCUUGAACCUGAGAGCAGAGCUGUGAGCGUGCGGUGUGACACUGUGGUGGUGUGACACUGCUAUGGUGUGACACACAGUGUGACGUGUGUGUGAUGCUGCGUCCUGCUCUAACCACAGCAGCUCACUUCUGCAGAGGACCUGUGGCAUGGGGCAUCCCCACAGGCACACGGGGUGUCCCCACUCCCCUGUAGAGCCAGAGCAGCCACAGGAGCUGCCUGGUUUGGCCAGGACCUGCUGCACCCCCUGCCCUCACAGCCUGGGGGCUCAGCAGUCCUGAGGUGCCAGCUGCGGGACACAGGGCUCUUUACUCACCUCAGUGCUGACUUUGCUCCCCACUCCUGUGUUUUGCAGCUGGUGCUGCCCAAGCCCGUCAUACCAUGACACAGCCUCGUGGUGACAGUGGUGAUGAGACGUGUCCCCUGAGCUCUGGGCAUCUCCCAGUGUGGCACUUGCUUUGCCACAUGGGCGGCUGUGGCACGGGGUGGUGGCAGGAGGUGGCAGGACCCGCAGGGACUGGGGCUUCCCUGUCACGAGGAGGGCACUGUGCUGCCCCAUUGCCACGCCGGUCUCGUUGCCAUAAGAUUAAUGCUGGUUAUUGGGUUGGGAGUUUUAUUACCUGAAUGUUUCCUCUUAGCUCCUAAAACUGACUUCAUCCCAGAUUUAUUACCCAGCAAAUAAACAAAAGUGCAGGUUUAUUUUACCUCCUUGUUCAUCAGAAGGGAAUGAAAAUUUAAGCAAAAUAUUAAAAAUAAAAUAGACUCAGUUUUACUUUAAUUGAUCUUUGAUUUUUAACUUAAUACCUUCCCCAUGUUGCUGCUUCAACCUUUAAUUUCUCUUGGUGAAGUGGCUGUGUUCAAUGAUUCAUUCUGUCCCGAGGCAAAGCACACACUGUAAUUGGUUUUUAACUUCCUGGAAUGUCAAAGCCGGGAUUGAAAUUUUACGUAUCACACCGCCAAUUCAAUACUGGCUUUAAUAAUAAUGUUGCAGAAAGGAAGGCAGAUUUACAGCUGUAGAAAAAUGUAAUCAAAUUUUGAGGCAGAAUGCAAUAAGUCCAAAUGCUAGUUUUCAUUUGGAAGCUUGUUAGAUAAAUGUGGUAUCACCUGAGCAGCUCCCCAAUCGUUUCUGCUCUCCCUGCCACACUGAGCAUUGCCAGCGGACGCAGGGGAACAGCAGGAGCAGGACAAGCAUGGGGUGUGUGGGGUGGAUGUGGGGUGACCCUGCCACCCUCAUCCUGUGGCCCAGGACCAGCUGAUGGGAUCGUGUGGACAGGAGCCACUCGUGGUGGGAUCUGCCCUGAGUGUCCACCCUGUGAUGAGCUGCGUGGCAGCCGGGACCGCGAUGCCGCGGUGCCCAGCGCAGAGCUGCUGCACCCUCUGCUCUGCCGGCCAGAAGCAUCUGGGGGGGCACCCCAGUAUCCUGCAAAUGCCAAACAAGUAAUCAAUUUGGGUCAAUUAAUGUCUGAUAAAAACUAAUAACCCUUCUCUCCUUUUCUUAUUACUGAAUGACCUCCAGCAAUCCAUUAGUUUAACAAAUGAUAUGCGAGUGUUCAGCAUGGCUAAUGACUCUGGAUUAGACCCGGUGACACCUAAUCCAUCAGCACGCUGCUCCCCACAGUGCCCACUCUGCUCAGUCACUGCUUGGCAGCGCCUGCAGCCCUGCCUGGAUCUGGGUGCUGUGUCCCCUCAUCCCCUGCUUGCUCUGUCCACCCCAUGCUGCCUUCCGGGGGCUGGGACUUCAGGAAAAGCCUCUUGGGGUUCAGGGACCAGCAGCCCCGCAGUGCCCAGAGCCCGGUGCCGGUGCCUGUCAGCCACGGGGUGCGUGCAGCUCCCUGUGCUGCUGCUCGCGGCUCCGCUGUCCCUGCUCUCUACUUAGGCUGUCCUAAAAAGCUAACUAAGCUGAAAUUAUUUUCUUUCCUUAGAAGAGCCUUUAAAUAAUGUAUUGCCCUCACUUGCUAUUGCUGAAUGUUUUAAAAAUCCAAGGGACUACUCCUUCUGGCUCGUGUAUCUGCAUCUGUUUGUUGUGGACCAUGAAUUACCCUUGGCAGGGGUCAUUACAAAUUCCCUUUGGAGCUGUUGCCCUGACAGCCUCACAGCAGCUGCCGUGCCGGGAUGUGGGCGCUGCCUGUGCCACAGUGGGAGGGGGUGUGGGGAAAAGCAGCACCCGCUGCCCAGGGGAGCAACAGCACCGAGCCUGCAGCCCAGGACACCUGCACCAGGUGCCCCUGUCCCUGGCACAUCCAGCUCUGGGGUCACCGUGGAGCAGCAGCGGCUCCAGGGCAGCACAUGCUGCCAGUUCACAUGUGGCCGUGCCUGGGGCAUCUUGCUGUGGUGCUGCUGGGGUCUGCUUGGUGGGUUUGUAACCCCUGACCAGCCACGCUGGACCUGCAGGAGCUCAAAUCCAGCCCUGGCCGCCCUGGAGGAUCCAUUUUCCACCCAGCCAGGUGCCCAUGGUCCUGGCUGGCCAUGCAGCUCCCUGUCCCGCAUUCACAUGGCAGCAAAUUGCAAUUAAAUUCCAACCGCUGAAAACAGAGCCCCUAAAAACAUCCUCCAAAAAACUGUACCUCCUGGAAAAUGAUGAUAAGAGGUUGCUGGAGGAAGGUUAAUUACAUUAGGGGAGCUGUCAACAAAGCAAAGACAUUCUGUCCGGAGCGGUGAGGGAAAUGUUUUCCGUUCUGUGCUGGUGUCCCACAGAUUCUCAUGUACUCUGCAAGGUUUCAGAUAUUAUAAUAAAAAUCAAUGCAAGUGUUCACCAGGCCAGCAGUGCUGCAGUGCUCAUGUCCUGGGCCGGUGCUCUCGGGCAACUGGAGGGACAUCCCGGCCCUGAGCUGCACUCCUGCCUGAGCAGCCCAACUCAGACCUGAAUGUCACAGGAAACUGAGCUCUCCCAGAAGGGCUGAAGAAAACGAGAAACUAGGUAAGCGUUGAAACUGUUAGAAAUUUGUUCCACAAAGUCCCUUCCAGUUAUACUCCACUUUUCCCUGAAGUGACAGUGGUUUUGAAUCAUGUUUCCAUAGAGCACGGGGGCUCUGUGCAGGCAGCCCCGCAGUGGGGCCGUCCAAGUCCUGCAUUUCAGCAAAGCUCUUUCCUGCAAGAGUUUGCGAAAGAGGCCCCAGCAUAAAUGGUGCUACUGCCGGCGCUGCAGCUAAUUCUGGUGUUUUACAGCACCGGGGCUGUGUUUCCUAUUGAUUUCGUAGGCUGCUAAUGGUCUUUUUCAUACAAUAAGAGGCUUUUGUGGGAAGAACUUAAUCCAGUGCUAUCGCUGGGUGAAAUUGCACAGCUUACUGCUUAGAUUGCCAGGACACGAUCUGCUUUAAUAGUAGAAGAAGUUUUAUCUGAUACAUUUAAUGCUCCAAUAUUUUUAUGGCACAACAGGUCCUAAUUGAGCUGCAUUUCUGCCCCAGGCGUGCGGGAGGCUGGGGCUCUGCCAGGGAGGGGUGCAAGCUGCCAUGGUGCAUGGUGGCUCAUGGGGACCUUUGCGGUGUGACUGUCACCUUCACCGGCCGCUGUCCCCAGCCUUGUUGCUGCCACAAAUGCAUGUUAAGGUGAUUCUCAUGGUGAUGGUGAGGCCGGUGCUGAAGAUGACAAAGCUCUGCAGGGAUGUGGAUCUUUGUUUUCUCCGGGGCGUAUUUUUCUUCCUGAUGGCCAUGCCGCAUGGGCUGGUGGCAGCUGGGCUGUCAGUGCCCGACUACAAACACAGGGUGACAGGCAGGUCCUGGGCACCAUGAGCAGGCAGGGCAGGCAGGACAGGCAGGACAUAAGGACAUUGCCGUGCAGAGGGGCUCACCAGCCACAGGACAUGCUCGUGCUCCCUUGUGCCCAGGACACGCUGUCCCCAGCGCCCGGCUGAGCAGAGCUCCAUGUGCUGCUGCCUUGGAGUCUGGCGUACAGGACAUGUCUAAAUGGAUCAUGACGGUCAGGACUAAAGGUUAGGAAAUUUCUCUGUGUAUCUUAUGUAAAUGAGGACUAAUGAGGUUUUCAUUGUUACCUUUAAUUAUCUUUUCCACAAGUGGUGGUGAUUUGUGUGGUGUGAGCCUAGAUGGGUGACACACACAGAUCCACACGCAGUGGAGAACCUUCAUUAAAACCGUGUUUAAAAAUGAAUCUGCAAUAUGCAAAUUGCCUAUUAAAUGCCUUUAAGGCGAAAAAUGGCACAAGCAAACCACUAGCCUCGUGGGACCUCUGGGGAUGGAUGAGCAGCAGUGGUGGGUGCCAGGUGUGCAGCCAGUGUGCCGUGCCAUGCCAUGCCGUGCUGUGCUGUGCUGUGCCGUGAUGUGCUAUGCAAUGCUGGGCGUGCCAUGCUGUGCCAUGCAUUGCCCUGCUGCACCGGCUGGUGCUGGAGCCAGGUGCUACCGUGAGGUCCUGUGGCAGCCUGGCCCCAGACCUGCACAAAGAAUUUUUGCGGAGAAAUGGACUUAAACUUGCAACUUCCCUGUUGAUCCUGAAGAGCUAGAUAGUGGUGUUGGGUGGGAGGAGAAAGUGCUGUACCAAGAAGCAGCGGAGUGAGGGAGUGAGUGAGGUGGCUUGGACAACUAUGUCCAAUUAGCCUGACGUUAAUCCUGGGCAAACGGGUGGAAAAACUAAUGCAAGAUUCAAUUAAUGUGAGAAUCAGUGCCCGAGAAUAUAAAUUCAUGCCAGUCAACAUGGCUGAAAAGAAGUAGGUCCUGUCCAACCAACCUAUUUUCAUCCUGUGAUGAGAUUACUUGUUUGGGUGAUGGAGGUGAUGGCACAGAAACAACAGGCUCCAGACAGCAUUUCACUGGUGCCAUGAUGCACUGGUUAAAAACCUGGUGGAAAAUUUUCCUGAUUGGAAAAUGAGGCUGAAGAAGCAGAAGGGGAUGUUGCCGCUGGUGCUGUUGUGCAGCUGGGUGGUGGUGGUGGCAGUGGCCACCAGUGCUGGCCAGGGCCGGUGUGCAGUGCCAUGGUACCGGGGCAACAGCGCUCGGUGCUGCAGCACAUGAAUGGGGAGAGACGUGAGAAAUGCUGGCACUGCUCCAGGUGGGGAAUCUCCCGGCACCCAGGGGAGCUGCACAUCCACACUCUGGGGAAAACGCGGGGCUGCAGAAAACCUCAGCCUUGCUUUAUUUUCCCAAACCGCCAUGCGAGGAUGAUUCUGCGUGUAGCAAAAGCCACGGAAACUAUGCCUAAAGUAAGACUCAAAUCCAUCUGAUUAUGAAUGGAUUUAAUUAACCAUAGCUGUAGCCGUGCUGUGCUGGGGCUGCAGCUGUGGCUGUGCAGCAGCUGUGCCAUGGUGGGGCUGUGGCUGUGCCAUGGUGGGACUGUGGCUGUGCCAUGGCCGGGGCUGUGCCAUGGCAGGGCUGUGGCUGUGCCAUGGCCGGGGCUGUGCCAUGGUGGGACUGUGGCUGUGCUGUGCAUGCUCUGCUGAGGCUGCUCAGUCCCCGGUAAACAUUUCAGACCCCACGUGUCUUUCACACCAGAGAACCCCAUUAGGGUGCAUUAGUAAGCCAUGACUGAUUGCCUUUCUUCGCUAAAAUAGUACAACAGCUUUUCAAACAUACCAGUAAUGAAAAUUUUAUUGCAGCCGGCUGGAUCUCCUGCAGGUCUAUUGUUCCGAUCAGCGCUGGCAGGUCGGAGCCCACCCGGGCCCACAGGAGCUGCCACAAAACACAGCGGCCGUGGGAGCAGCUGGCCGGGUGGCGGGGACCUUGCUGGCGGGUGCACUCCCAGCAGCUCCUGUCCCAGUGGCAUUGCUGGCAGAAUGCGGUGGGCACCAUACUGCCGUGGGCACAGCACUGCUGCUGGGGCUGUGCUGCUGGCCGGAGAGAGGGCUGCACUCAAGGCGCUGCAUUUGGGGUGCUCUCUGUGACCCCCCGGCUCCAGCAGCAUGGCUGAUAGGGCUGACCCUCGCUGUCUUGUAGCCGGUGGGUGGUUGGGCCAGUGGUGCUGGGGUCCUAGCACUGGUGCGGGACGGCACAGGGAGCUGGAGCGGUGCUCGGGUGUGCGGUGAGCGAUGGCCUGACUCCUGCUUCCCUGGGCUGACUCAAAUAAAGUGCAACCAAGCAGCACCAAGUGCCUUUUACAGACUCCAUGCAGGCAGGAUUAAGAUGUGAAGAUAAAGAACGUGUAAUUCACUUUAUCCAUGUUAUUUAUUUAGAAGAUGGUGAGGAAAUGAGGAGUGAAAUAUCCCCGUCUCAGCCCAGAGCCAAACAGGGGCUGCUCAGCCCUGUCUGUCCCUGGGGCUGUUCCUGGGGCAGGGCCCUGUGCUGUGGGGCAGGGCAGUGUGCUGUGGGGCAGGGCAGAGUGGUGUGUGCCAUGGGGCAGAGCCCUGUGCCAUGGGGCAGGGCUGCACACUGCAGCCAUGGGAACAGCUCCCAGAGGUUGCUGGUGGCUGCCACAUGCCCAGAAGGAGCCCCACAGCUUCGGCACUGCUGGUAACUCUUCCAGUUUCCCUCUGGAAGUUGUUUCUGCCAAUGCUGUAAUUUGGGUUGUGCAGAGUGGGCCCAGUGGGCGCUGCGCAUCCUCAGCAGAUCCUGCAUCUCCUACUCUGGCUCACAAGGGCCCAGCACGUGUGAUGGCACUGGCAGCUCCGCACUGAUGGGGCCAAGAAGCCAUGGGGCAGGACGAGCUGGGGCACAGGGGACCGUCCCCACUGCCCCACUCACCCGGUGCCUGCAGCUAGGCUGGGGCUCCAGGGCGGGAUGGUGCGGGCAGGGACCUUCUGGUCCUUCCCCAGGGCUGUGUGGGGCUCCACGCUCCCCCAGCUCAAUUCCAGAGCCCACCAGGCUGGGUCCUGGCUCUACAAGAGAAAUGAGGUCUUAACCAGAUGGCAGGGCUAAUAAAUAGCUCAAGAAAGGCAAGCUAGUACAUGCAGCCCGCAUCUCCUCUGCCUAUCUAUUGCAAGUGCCAAAAGAAAUCUGUCUCAGGAAUUAUUUCAGAGAGGGUAAUUUCUGUUCCCCAGUUGCUGUCAUACAUUAGAAAUAGCUGAAAUGCCUCCAGUUGGCUACCAGUGGCGAGGAGCAGCCAGGGGCUGCCAUGGAUGAGAAGCACUAAAAGAAAAUAAAUUAGCCUCUUGCACUCAGCCCUUCCCUCGGCUGCUGAACCACAAGUGACGAGCGGCUGUUGCUUAAGUAACAACCAGAAUAAUGAGGAGAACAGUAUUCGCAGGGGAAUAUUAACUCGGAGAAACAGCAUUUUUUCCUCCUUUUGAAGUUUGUCCCCAGCAGCCCCUGUUCUGGUGUGGAGGUGAGCCACGACCUGCAGAUGCCGGUGGGUGCAGGUGAUGGGCAUCAGCUGCUCUCUGUGCCCAUGAGCAGUGUCCCAGUGGGACCUGCUGCCAGGUGGGCCCGGGCUCAUUCUGUGGAGCCCUAAUGUGGGUCCGCUGCAUGGCUGGGAAACGCCAGCCCAGAUUUUCCAUCACUGCUGCAGCUCGUUGCUUUAUAGCCUUGGGCCAUGUCUGCUCUGGUGCAGUCUGGUGACCUGGGACAGCAGGGAUGCUUCUGGCUGUGCCAGCACGCCGUCAUUUUGUGGCAUGAAAUGCCUUAAUCACAGGCUUGGUAACACACGCCUCGAGCACUGGUGAUCUGUCCCCUCUGAUUUCUCCACUUGUAGCUCAUGUUGCUCCAGCUGCUGGUGUCACUGAUUCCAGUGAAUGAGCCACUGCUCAGUGGCUGGCAGAGCUGGUGACCCCGCGGGUGUGUUGGACCAGUUCUCAAGAGGAAUGACCCUGUCUGGAGCCCUGCUGUGUUGUAACCAGCAGUUUAAGGAAGUUCAUCCCUCUGACGAUGCAAACCAGGAACACUCAUGGAUUUAACUUGCUUCAGAUCCUCUCUGGUUCCUUUAUCUCUUCUGGCUGAGUCUUCUGGGGAACAUUACCUUGACUUACUGCUCCCUGUUUGUAUCCACUAACAAUUAUAUGGGGGUGCAAUUCUGAGAACCACCUCAUCCCAUGCUGUGUGAUUAAUGAUGGAAAUCUUUCUUCCCAUUUUGCAGUUUGAGAGAUACCUGUUGCUGCUGAAGCUGUCCCCAGGAGGAUGCCUGCUCACUUAACAUGUCAUUGCAGGGAAAACAAGGCACUUUGCUCCUAAAAGAAGGCAACGAAACAAAGCUACAUGAGGCUGUUUUCUUUGUGCUCUUUCUCUUCAUCACCCUUUUCUAUCCAUCCUACAUCUGUGAGCGGUG